AAUUUAUGCAUCUUCUCGGAAACGAAAGUCUUUCGGUUCCGGGGGAAGUAUGGUUGCAAAGCUGAAACUUAAAGGAAUUGACGGAAGGGCACCACCAGGAGUGGAGCCUGCGGCUUAAUUUGACUCAACACGGGAAAACUCACCCGGGCCGGACACUAUAAGGAUUGACAGAUUGAUAGCUCUUUCAUGAUUUAGUGGUUGGUGGUGCAUGGCCGUUCUUAGUUCGUGGAUAUGAUUUGUCUGGUUGAUUCCGAUAACGAGCGAGACUUUUAUGUUAUAUUAAAUAUUAUUAUUUUGUUUAUUUUAAUAUAAAUAAUUAAUAUUUUAAUAACAGAUUAAUAGUGUUUAACUAUUUGAGAGAGAGCGAUAACAGGUCUGUGAUGCCCUUAGAUGUCCGGGGCUGCACGCGCGCUACAAUGUAGUGAUCAUUAUGUUCCUGUUUAGAGAUAAAUGGGUAAACAUUGAAAACAUUACGUAACUGGGAAUGAAAAUUGCAAUUAUUUUUCAUGAACGAGGAAUUCCAAGUAAACGUAAGUCAUAGC
rnacentral:rRNA from 1 species